AAUAGAUACCCUGGUAGUCCACGCUGUAAACGUUGGACACUAGGUGUGGCGGUCUGAUCAACGACUGCCGUGCCGAAGCUAACGCAUUAAGUGUCCCGCCUGGGGAGUACGGCCGCAAGGCUAAAACUCAAAGGAAUUGACGGGUCCCCGCACAAGCGGCGGAGCAUGCGGCUUAAUUCGAUGCAACCCGAAGAACCUUACCUGGGUUUGACAUCAUGGGAAAAGCCGUGGAAACACGGUGUCCGUAAGGGCCCAUGACAGGUGGUGCAUGGCUGUCGUCAGCUCGUGUCGCGAGAUGUUGGGUUAAGUCCCGCAACGAGCGCAACCCUUGUCCUAUGUUGCCAGCGGUUCGGCCGGGGACUCAUAGGAGACUGCCGGGGAUAACUCGGAGGAAGGUGAGGACGAUGUCAAGUCAUCAUGCCCCUUAUAUCCAGGGCUGCACGCAUGCUACAAUGGUCGGUACAACGGGCAGCGAUCCUGCGAAGGUGAGCGAAUCCCACAAAGCCGGCCUCAGUUCGGAUUGG
rnacentral:rRNA from 1 species